GGAAACCGGAGCUAAUACCGGAUAAUAUAUUGAACCGCAUGGUUCAAUAGUGAAAGACGGUUUUGCUGUCACUUAUAGAUGGAUCCGCGCCGCAUUAGCUAGUUGGUAAAGUAACGGCUUACCAAGGCAACGAUGCGUAGCCGACCUGAGAGGGUGAUCGGCCACACUGGAACUGAGACACGGUCCAG
rnacentral:rRNA from 1 species